rnacentral:rRNA from 1 species
CUCCGUAGGUGAACCUGCGGAGGGAUCAUUACCGAGUUUACAACUCCCAAACCCAAUGUGAACGUUACCAAACUGUUGCCUCGGCGGGAUCUCUGCCCCGGGUGCGUCGCAGCCCCGGACCAAGGCGCCCGCCGGAGGACCAACCAAAACUCUUAUUGUAUACCCCCUCGCGGGUUUUUUUAUAAUCUGAGCCUUCUCGGCGCCUCUCGUAGGCGUUUCGAAAAUGAAUCAAAACUUUCAACAACGGAUCUCUUGGUUCUGGCAUCGAUGAAGAACGCAGCGAAAUGCGAUAAGUAAUGUGAAUUGCAGAAUUCAGUGAAUCAUCGAAUCUUUGAACGCACAUUGCGCCCGCCAGUAUUCUGGCGGGCAUGCCUGUCCGAGCGUCAUUUCAACCCUCGAACCCCUCCGGGGGGUCGGCGUUGGGGAUCGGCCCUGCCUUGGCGGUGGCCGUCUCCGAAAUACAGUGGCGGUCUCGCCGCAGCCUCUCCUGCGCAGUAGUUUGCACACUCGCAUCGGGAGCGCGGCGCGUCCACAGCCGUUAAACACCCAACUUCUGAAAUGUUGACCUCGGAUCAGGUAGGAAUACCCGCUGAACUUAAGCAUAUCAAUAAGC